GACGAACGCUGGCGGCGUGCCUAACACAUGCAAGUCGAACGGAGUCGGCCCCGCAAGGGACUGACUUAGUGGCGAACGGGUGAGUAACGCGUGAGCAACCUGCCUUUCAGUGGGGGACAACAGUUGGAAACGACUGCUAAUACCGCAUAAUGCAUUUUGACCGCAUGAUCGAGAUGCCAAAGAUUUAUUGCUGAAAGAUGGGCUCGCGUCUGAUUAGAUAGUUGGUGAGGUAACGGCCCACCAAGUCGACGAUCAGUAGCCGGACUGAGGGGUUGAACGGCCACAUUGGGACUGAGAUACGGCCCAGACUCCUACGGGAGGCAGCAGUGGGGAAUAUUGGGCAAUGGGGGAAACCCUGACCCAGCAACGCCGCGUGAAGGAAGAAGGCUUUCGGGUUGUAAACUUCUUUUACCAGGGACGAAGAAAGUGACGGUACCUGGAGAAAAAGCCACGGCUAACUACGUG
rnacentral:rRNA from 1 species